rnacentral:rRNA from 1 species
ACGAAGGGUGCAAGCGUUAAUCGGAAUUACUGGGCGUAAAGCGUGCGCAGGCGGUUUUGUAAGACAGAUGUGAAAUCCCCGGGCUUAACCUGGGAACUGCGUUUGUGACUGCAAGACUCGAGUGCGGCAGAGGGGGGUGGAAUUCCACGUGUAGCAGUGAAAUGCGUAGAGAUGUGGAGGAACACCGAUGGCGAAGGCAAUCCCCUGGGCCUGCACUGACGCUCAUGCACGAAAGCGUGGGGAGCAAACAGG